GAGUUUGAUCAUGGCUCAGAUUGAACGCUGGCGGCAUGCCUUACACAUGCAAGUCGAACGGCAGCACGGGAGCUUGCUCCUGGGUGGCGAGUGGCGAACGGGUGAGUAAUGCAUCGGAACGUAUCCUGGAGUGGGGGAUAACGUAGCGAAAGUUACGCUAAUACCGCAUAUUCUGUGAGCAGGAAAGCGGGGGACCUUCGGGCCUCGCGCUCUUGGAGCGGCCGAUGUCGGAUUAGCUAGUUGGUGAGGUAAAGGCGUCACCAAGGCGACGAUCCGUAGCAGGUCUGAGAGGAUGAUCUGCCACACUGGAACUGAGACACGGUCCAGACUCCUACGGGAGGCAGCAGUGGGGAAUUUUGGACAAUGGGGGCAACCCUGAUCCAGCCAUGCCGCGUGAGUGAAGAAGGCCUCGGUUG
rnacentral:rRNA from 1 species